GGGCACGCUCCAGUUCUCGCGAGACUGGAGACCAGGAAGACGCCUGCAGAGCCGGGCUGCUGGUGCAGCAGAGGCUGAGGCAUCAGGUGCAGCUGCAUCCGGAUCUCCUGCCUUGGAGCGUACUCCUUGUCUCUAAGUCGGGAGGCAGGACGUGGUCCGGCCGGGGCUGUGGAGGUGCGCUGUGUCCCCUGAGGCCUAGAGGAUUCGGGCUGCGGCCUGUCGGAACCAGUCAGGGAGGCGCCCACACUCCUGACAGGAUAAGAUGGCGGCGAUGGCGCCUGGAGGUAGUGGCAGUGGUGGCGGCGUGAAUCCAUUUCUCAGCGAUUCGGAUGAGGACGAUGACGAGGUAGCUGCAACAGAGGAACGGCGGGCAGUACUUCGGCUGGGUGCCGGAAGUGGCCUAGAUCCUGGCUCUGCGGGCUCGCUGUCGCCACAGGAUCCCGUGGCCUUAGGAAGCAGUGCGCGGCCAGGGCUCCCUGGGGAGGCGUCGGCGGCUGCAGUGGCCCUGGGGGGCACCGGGGAGACCCCGGCCCGAUUGUCAAUUGAUGCGAUCGCUGCUCAGCUGUUGCGCGAUCAAUACUUGCUGACCGCCCUGGAGCUGCAUACCGAGCUGUUAGAGAGUGGCCGGGAGCUGCCUCGGCUGCGCGACUACUUCUCCAAUCCAGGCAACUUCGAGAGGCAAAGUGGAACCCCGCCGGGGAUGGGGGCGCCAGGGGUCCCUGGAGCAGCCGGCGUUGGGGGCGCUGGAGGUCGGGAACCGAGUACAGCGUCGGGCGGGGGACAGCUCAAUCGAGCUGGGAGCAUUAGUACCCUUGAUUCUUUAGACUUUGCAAGAUAUUCAGAUGAUGGUAACAGGGAAACAGAUGAAAAAGUGGCAGUCCUGGAGUUUGAACUACGGAAAGCCAAGGAGACCAUUCAGGCCCUCCGAGCCAACCUGACAAAGGCCGCAGAACAUGAAGUUCCUUUACAGGAACGAAAAAAUUACAAAUCAAGUCCUGAAAUUCAGGAGCCAAUCAAACCUCUUGAAAAGAGAGCUCUAAACUUCUUAGUCAAUGAAUUUUUAUUGAAGAAUAACUAUAAGCUUACAUCAAUAACCUUUUCAGAUGAAAACGAUGAUCAGGAUUUUGAAUUAUGGGAUGAUGUAGGAUUAAACAUUCCAAAACCUCCAGACUUAUUGCAACUCUACCGGGAUUUUGGAAAUCAUCAAGUAACUGGAAAAGAUCUUGUAGAUGUGGCCAGUGGAGUAGAAGAAGAUGAAUUAGAGGCCCUUACACCAAUUAUAAGCAACCUUCCUCCAACUCUUGAAACUCCCCAGCCUGCAGAGAACUCCAUGUUAGUACAGAAAUUAGAAGAUAAAAUUAGUUUGUUAAAUAGUGAGAAAUGGUCAUUGAUGGAGCAAAUCAGAAGACUUAAAAGUGAAAUGGACUUCCUCAAAAAUGAACACUUUGCCAUCCCAGCAGUUUGUGACUCUGUUCAGCCUCCUUUGGAUCAGUUGCCCCACAAAGACUCUGAGGACAGUGGACAGCAUCCAGAUGUAAAUAGUUCAGACAAGGGAAAAAACACAGACAUCCAUCUUUCAAUAUCAGAUGAAGCUGAUUCCACUAUUCCUAAAGAGAAUUCCCCAGAUUCAUUCCCCAGGAGAGAAAGAGAAGGAAUGCCACCUUCUUCUCUAUCAAGUAAAAACACAGUUCAUUUUGAUAAACCUAAUAGGAAAUUGUCUCCUGCAUUCCAUCAAGCACUACUCUCUUUUUGUCGAAUGUCAGCAGAUAGUCGUUUAGGAUAUGAGGUGUCUCGUAUUGCAGACAGUGAAAAAAGCGUUAUGUUAAUGCUGGGACGCUGCCUGCCACACAUUGUUCCCAAUGUGCUAUUGGCAAAGAGAGAGAGAAUGGUUUUACACCUCUGUCAGGAGUUGAUCCCCCUCAUAUUGUGUACAGCAUGUCUACAUCCUGAGCCUAAAGAGCGAGAUCAGCUUCUCCACAUACUUUUCAAUUUGAUCAAGAGGCCAGAUGAUGAGCAAAGGCAAAUGAUACUGACAGGUUGUGUGGCAUUUGCGCGUCAUGUUGGACCAACACGUGUAGAAGCUGAACUUUUACCACAGUGUUGGGAACAGAUUAAUCACAAAUACCCAGAAAGACGACUGCUUGUGGCAGAAUCCUGUGGAGCACUGGCACCUUACCUUCCUAAAGAAAUCCGUAGCUCCUUGGUUCUUUCAAUGUUGCAACAAAUGUUAAUGGAAGAUAAGGCAGAUUUGGUAAGAGAAGCUGUUAUCAAAAGCCUUGGUAUCAUUAUGGGAUACAUUGAUGAUCCAGACAAAUAUCAUCAGGGUUUUGAAUUGUUGCUGUCAGCCUUGGGUGAUCCCUCAGAAAGAGUAGUUAGUGCUACACAUCAAGUAUUUUUACCAGCUUACGCUGCGUGGACUACAGAACUUGGAAAUUUACAGUCUCAUCUUAUACUUACACUACUGAACAAGAUUGAAAAACUUCUCAGGGAAGGAGAACAUGGACUGGAUGAACACAAACUCCACAUGUAUCUUUCUGCCUUGCAGUCUUUGAUCCCAUCUCUCUUUGCAUUAGUGCUACAGAAUGCACCUUUCUCCAGCAAAGCCAAGCUUCAUGGUGAAGUGCCACAGAUAGAAGUGACUAGGUUUCCUCGGCCUAUGUCGCCUCUUCAAGAUGUGUCCACUAUUAUCGGAAGUCGUGAGCAAUUGGCAGUGCUGCUACAACUUUAUGACUACCAGCUAGAACAGGAGGGUACAACAGGCUGGGAGAGUUUACUGUGGGUUGUCAAUCAAUUGUUGCCACAACUUAUAGAAAUAGUUGGCAAAAUUAAUGUUACUUCAACUGCCUGUGUCCAUGAAUUCUCCAGAUUUUUCUGGCGCCUUUGCCGGACAUUUGGCAAAAUUUUUACAAACACUAAGGUAAAACCUCAGUUCCAGGAGAUUUUAAGACUAUCUGAAGAAAAUAUUGAUUCCUCAGCAGGAAAUGGGGUCCUCACUAAAGCUACAGUCCCCAUUUAUGCAACAGGAGUCCUUACGUGUUAUAUUCAGAUAAAGGAGUAUUUGCAUAUACAUAAUGAGAUAUCUUGGGAAUGGGACCCAAGUCUAAACACAAAAUGUGUUUCAUAUACACAUUAUACACAUAGCCUGAAGGAAGAAGACCGAAAACUGUUAGUUGGAUUCUUAGAAGAUGUAAUGACGCUGCUUUCAUUAUCUCAUGCUCCUCUUGAUAGCCUGAAGGCUUCUUUUGUGGAAUUGGGUGCAAACCCAGCCUACCAUGAGUUACUAUUAACUGUUUUGUGGUAUGGUGUUGUCCAUACUUCAGCACUCGUGAGGUGUACUGCUGCUAGAAUGUUUGAGCUGUUGGUGAAGGGGGUGAAUGAAACUCUGGUAGCUCAGAGGGUUGUUCCUGCUCUCAUUACUCUCUCCAGUGACCCUGAAAUCUGACUCUUCGAGGCAUGAGUGAAGCGUUAGUUGACAAGCGGGUUGCUCCGGCCCUUGUUACCUUGUCCAGUGAUCCUGAAUUCUCUGUCAGGAUUGCCACAAUUCCAGCCUUUGGCACUAUUAUGGAAACAGUAAUUCAAAGAGAGUUGCUGGAAAGAGUGAAAAUGCAGCUGGCUUCUUUCCUGGAAGAUCCUCAGUAUCAAGACCAACAUUCUUUGCAUACAGAGAUCAUAAAAACAUUUGGUAGAGUUGGCCCUAACGCAGAACCCAGGUUCCGAGAUGAGUUUGUUAUACCACAUUUGCAUAAGUUAGCCUUGGUGAACAACUUACAGAUUGUGGAUUCUAAAAGACUGGACAUUGCUACGCAUCUUUUUGAAGCCUACAGUGCACUUUCCUGUUGUUUCAUUUCAGAGGAUUUAAUGGUUAAUCACUUUUUACCUGGUCUCAGAUGUUUACGGACUGACAUGGAACAUCUCUCUCCAGAGCAUGAGGUUAUUUUAAGUUCCAUGAUAAAAGAAUGUGAACAAAAAGUUGAAAACAAGACCGUCCAAGAGCCUCAAGGCUCAAUGUCAAUUGCUGCCAGCUUAGUGAGUGAAGAUACAAAGACCAAGUUUUUGAACAAAAUGGGCCAGUUGACAACAUCAGGUGCCAUGUUGGCCAAUGUAUUUCAGAGAAAGAAGUAGAAGCAGGAAAGAAGCCCCCAGUAAACACUAAGAUGGACCUCAAGCCGACUGGUUCCUUGUACUUGAAGUACUUGCCUUUUUUAUUUCCUCAGUUUUAUGUUCUUGCAUUAUAAUUUUAUCCUAACCUCCAAAGAUAUUUGCACUGCUUUUAAUUACUGCUGUAUAUUUGUUGAUUUUGGAGUUACAACUGUGGUGACAGAAAAUUGAGUUGAUGGUCUGUACCAAGUCCCUUGUCUAUGUUCUUGUCUUUCAGAAUAAUUUUUAUAUAAAUAUAUAUAUAGUGAAGAAGUUUUUUUUUAAUUUUUGGAUGGGAUAUUUGCAAAUAUCUGUAUUAUACACUAAGCUAUUACAAUGGUACUUAAAAUAAUGUAAAUUUGAAGUCAUUGUUAUAAAAUAAUAAAGUGGAGAUUACUUAAGUAUUUAAAUUAUGGAAGGAUAAUGCAGACUUUUUAUUGUUUCUUAACUGACUAGAAAGAGCCACCAGCAUUACUCUGUGCCUUUUGGACAUCAGUUUGUGUGUUCUGUAGGAAUUGUGUGCAUUCCAUUCACAUAGUAUUUCUUUAGGAUGCUGUGAUGAUUUGAAUUACAAAUCCUACAGUCAAUAGCUAAAGACGAAACCUUCAUUUCAGAACUCUCAUGAAUAUUCUUUAAGUGCUAUGUGCUAUUUAAACCUCCCCAGCACUUAGAUGCAUAUAAGGGACUUACCUGAGGAAAGACAGCACAUAGGCAUGGGGAGAGGUAACCAAGAUGAAUUUUACAAACUGGUGUAUAGUAGAUUUAAAUCCUCAAAAAUAAAUGUAACUGAGAAGAGUUAAUAAUUGUGAGAUUUUUCCCAAAUUGAGAUACAGAAGAAAAUAUAGUUUGAAUCUGAAAUUUAACACUUAUUUAUGUAAAACAUUUUAUUUAAGAUAUUUUCUAAUGAUUUUAAUUUUAGAGAGUACCUUUUCAUUCUGUGUGUUACAGAGAAGUACUGAAAAGUUAAGGACACUUGGGGGCUACUUUUUUCCCUCUAAACUAAAAAAGACAUUGGCUGAAUUAUAACUAGUUAGUUAUCACCUCGUCCCUUAAAGUCAGUGACCUCCUGUGUUUGAUGUAUAUUACAUAGAGUCUUAAGUCAGUGUACAGUUCCACUGGAAUUUGACAGUUGUCUCUACAGUCAUGCAACUCGAAGUAGAAAAGAGUGCUGGACAUAGGAAGGGGGUGCUUGGUUUGAGGGGUUAAUGUGAGGCCUUUUUGAAAAAUGAAUAUUUUGAUAAAAAGAAUUCUUGUUUUAGCACAGUUGAUGCACAUAAGUGAUUCUCAUAUUUGUUGUAUAAACUGGUUUAAUACAUUUGGAACAUAGUUGGAUUACAUUCAUUUCCUGGGAAAGCUAGCUUACCAUACAUUCAAGUUUAUAAAACAAUUUGCCAUAGGCAAAGCCAUUUAAAAAGUUCAUUCUGAAAUUAUUUCAUUUACCUACAGUGAAAUAAUUGUGAACUAAGUAGUCUUUCUGAAAACUGUUGGGUUCUAGGCAUUCCUGAGAAAUUGAAAGUGGCUACCUUUCAUGUCAAAAAUGUUGAUCUAUUAUAAAUAAAAUGUUUUUGCAUA